rnacentral:tRNA from 1 species
GCGCCCGUGAUGUAACGGCAGCGUAUCGCCAUGCCACGGCGGAAGUGCGAGUUCGAUUCUCGCCGGGUGCU